rnacentral:snRNA from 1 species
CGAAACUCGUUACAGAGCCC